rnacentral:rRNA from 1 species
AUUCCAAUCGAACUCGGAGAUAGCUGGUUCUCCCCGAAAUAGCUUUAGGGCUAGCGUUAUCUUAGAUUACCGGAGGUAAAGCACUGAAUGGGCUAGGGGGCGAUAAGCUUACUGAACCCUAUCAAACUCAGAAUGCCGGCUAAUUGAUGGAUAGCAGUCAGACAGUGUGAGAUAAGUUUCAUUGUCAAAAGGGAAACAGCCCAGACCCACAGCUAAGGUCCCUAAUGUAUGCUAAGUGGAAAACGAUGUGGAAUUGCGAAAACAACCAGGAUGUUGGCUUAGAAGCAGCCACUCAUUAAAAGAGUGCGUAAUAGCUCACUGGUCGAGUGACUCUGCGCGGAAAAUAUAACGGGGCUAAGCAUGCAACCGAAGCUUGGGAUUGUCUAAAGACAGUGGUAGGGGAGCGUCGUGUACGGGGUGAAGUCGCAUCGGAAGGAGCGGUGGACUGUACACGAGUGAGAAUGCCGGAAUGAGUAGCGAGAAUUAUGUGGGAAUCAUAAUGGCCGAAAAUCUAAGGUUUCUUGGGGAAGGUUCGUCCGCCCAAGGUAAGCCGGGAGCUAAGGCGAGGCCGCAAGGCGUAGUCGAUGCACAUACGGUAAAGAUUCCGUAGCCGCCGAACUUUAAGUCAGAGGGACACUUGCAGAUAGCGGAACCCAGCCGUUGGUUGAGCUGGGCGAAAGGGACUGAAAUUAGUAGGGAAGUCCGCGAUGCUGAAAGGCGAGAAAAGCUCUGAUGGAUACUAAGGCGCCCGUACCGCAAACCGACACAGGUAGAUGAGGAGAGAAUCCUAAGGCCAACGGGAGAAGGGUUGUUAAGGAACUCGGCAAAUUGACCCCGUAACUUCGGAAGAAGGGGAGCCCCGAAAGGGGCCGCAGUGAAUAGGCCCAAGCAACUGUUUACCAAAAACACAGGUUUAUGCUAAAUCGAAAGAUGACGUAUAUGAGCUGACGCCUGCCCGGUGCCGGAAGGUUAAGAGGAGAGCUUAGAGCAAUCGAAGGUUUGAAUUGAAGCCCCGGUAAACGGCGGCCGUAACUAUAACGGUCCUAAGGUAGCGAAAUUCCUUGUCAGGUAAG